rnacentral:misc_RNA from 1 species
UUGAAAUGUUUCAUUUAUUAUACCUAUAAUACACACGCAAUUAUCCAGAGUCGGAACAUCCAGAACAAUGACCACCUGAUCACUGUGUUUUUCUUCUUUUCCUUUUUCCUUUCAAUUCUAUUCAUUUUACAACAACAGAGUUACAACAACAGAGGGACGAUUUGAUCGCCCCAAAAUUAUCAGCCAUAAAAAAUAGUUUAGCAUUCAAAUAUGCGCUUCAAUGAUCCAGUAUCUAGCCCCAGAUGAAAACACUUUUAUCAUAAUGGUUGUAGUUCUUGCUCAGGAACACUUUUACCAACAGGCUCGUAUGUACCAACUGUUGCUUGUCUAUGCCUCCAAACCAUCCAUAUGCCAAUGCCUGAUAAACUAACAAGCAGGGCGGACAAAACUCCAACAGCAACUGCCCAGAAGUGUUCCUGCCACCAUGUCAGCUUUCUUUGAGGCUCAAUCUUCCAUU